rnacentral:rRNA from 1 species
CGCUAUCAUCCUACGGGAGGCAGCAGUGGGGAAUAUUGCACAAUGGGGGAAACCCUGAUGCAGCCAUGCCGCGUGUGUGAAGAAGGCCUUCGGGUUGUAAAGCACUUUCAGUAGGGAGGAAGGUAGUGUAGUUAACACCUGCACUAUUUGACGUUACCUACAGAAGAAGCACCGGCUAACUCCGUGCCAGCAGCCGCGGUAAUACGGAGGGUGCGAGCGUUAAUCGGAAUUACUGGGCGUAAAGCGCAUGCAGGCGGCCUGUUAAGUCAGAUGUGAAAGCCCGGGGCUUAACCUCGGAAUUGCAUUUGAAACUGGCAGGCUAGAGUCUUGUAGAGGGGGUAGAAUUUCAGGUGUAGCGGUGAAAUGCGUAGAGAUCUGAAGGAAUACCGGUGGCGAAGGCGGCCCCCUGGACAGAUACUGACACUCAGAUGCGAAAGCGUGGGGAGCAAACAGGAUUAGAUACCCUGGUAG